rnacentral:rRNA from 1 species
AACGAACGCUGGCGGCAUGCCUAACACAUGCAAGUCGAACGAGACCUUCGGGUCUAGUGGCGCACGGGUGCGUAACGCGUGGGAACCUGCCCUUAGGUUCGGAAUAACUCCCCGAAAGGGGUGCUAAUACCGGAUAAUGUCUUCGGACCAAAGAUUUAUCGCCUUUGGAUGGGCCCGCGUUGGAUUAGCUAGUUGGUAGGGUAAAAGCCUACCAAGGCGACGAUCCAUAGCUGGUCUGAGAGGAUGAUCAGCCACACUGGGACUGAGACACGGCCCAGACUCCUACGGGAGGCAACAGUGGGGAAUAUUGGACAAUGGGCGAAAGCCUGAUCCAGCAAUGCCGCGUGAGUGAUGAAGGCCUUAGGGUUGUAAAGCUCUUUUACCCGGGAUGAUAAUGACAGUACCGGGAGAAUAAGCUCCGGCUAACUCCG